GCCCGUCUAGCUCAGUCGGUAGAGCGCAAGGCUCUUAACCUUGUGGUCGUGGGUUCGAGCCCCACAGUGGGCG